AACGCACGAGACCUGCGGACCUGCGGAAGGAUCAUUAGUGAACGCCCUCACGGGCUUAUAACUAUUCCAAACCUCUGUGAACCGUGCCCUUCGGGGCUAUUUUACAAACAUGGUGUAAUGAACGUCAUAUAUCAUAACAAAGCAAAACUUUCAACAACGGAUCUCU
rnacentral:misc_RNA from 1 species